AUAAUGGAGAGUUUGAUCCUGGCUCAGGACGAACGCUGGCGGCGUGCCUAAUACAUGCAAGUCGAGCGGAACCAUUGGAGCUUGCUCCUUUGGUUUAGCGGCGGACGGGUGAGUAACACGUGGGCAACCUGCCCUGCAGAUCGGGAUAACUCCGGGAAACCGGUGCUAAUACCGAAUAGUUUACGGCCUCUCAUGAGGCGGUAC
rnacentral:rRNA from 1 species